ACUCCUACGGGAGGCAGCAGUAGGGAAUUUUCGUCAAUGGGCGCAAGCCUGAACGAGCAAUGCCGCGUGAGUGAAGAAGGAUUUCGGUCUGUAAAGCUCUGUUGUAAAGGAAGAACGUCUACUAGAGGGAAUGCUAGUAGAGUGACGGUACUUUACCAGAAAGCCACGGCUAACUACGUGCCAGCAGCCGCGGUAAU
rnacentral:rRNA from 1 species